UGAUUUCUCUUCAGAUCGUAUAAAUCUUUCGCCUUUUACUAAAGAUUUCCGUGAAGAAAUGUACUCAU
rnacentral:snRNA from 1 species